GAAGAAUUAGUUAAUCUAUAACAUUAGAAUGUCAAACUAAAAUUAUUAAACUUUAAUAUUCUUCA
rnacentral:tRNA from 1 species